AAUUACCAUUUAAAUUUUUCUCCCACCUCGUUGCAGGCUCCACCCCAAUUUGUGAGGCCAUGGGCAAACAGACGUUGUGCUGCAGUCGCAGGAUCCCUUUGCACAAGCUUGAGACCCGAAUCGAUGUCAUCGAUGCAGCCACCAUCAAGGCGUGCACCAAAAUAUCUUCGACAUAGCUCCUGCCAUAGCAGCCAUUGACAGUUCCAAUCGAGCAGCUUCCUGACGACACCCAGAUCUGCAGCGGAAUGUUCUGGAUGAGGAGAUAAGUAAAAUCACGCUCUCCGUUUUCAAAUCCUCUUGUCCUCGCAAGGGUCCCAGGGUGUGCUGGAGCCUCCCCUGGCUGUCUUCGGGCCAUCGGCAGGGGGGUUGA